UGAAACUACGCCUAUAUGAAGCUGGAAUCGCUAGUAAUCGCGGAUCAGAAUGCCGCGGUGAAUACGUUCCCGGGUCUUGUACACACCGCCCGUCACACCAUGGGAGUCGGAAAUGCCCGAAGUCUGUGACCCAACCUACGGGAGGGAGCAGCCGAAGGCAGGUCGGAUGACUGGGGUGAAGUCGUAACAAGGUAUC
rnacentral:rRNA from 1 species